GCGCAGUUCCAGGGCGGCUUUCCCCCUCACUUCCUGCCAUGUUACUCUGAUCGCCUCCAGCUAAAGAAACAGGCUCAGAGAAUGUUAUUUGAUUGGACCGUGUUGCAUUUCUGGACAGUGCAGCUGAGAUCAGACUUUGUGUGUAACUCCACUAGCCUACCAGGGUGCCUCUCAUAAAGCAUUCCUUUCAGCUACGAUACAACAGAAGCAAAUAUUUGCCACUGGAAAAAAUAUUCAAAGACACUCUUAGGUUAAUCUAUAGCUGAUGACAGUCAGUCUAGUCUACAUAGCAAGCAGCUUCAAGAUAUGAUUACUUAGCUAAGAGGGAAAUGGGACGUGACUGCUGCCUCAUUCCCACGCCUCUCUGGACCUGAUAAUUUAGAGGAAGCUCACAUUCGCAAGAUAAAAAUUUUCUUUUCUUUCUCAGUAUUAAAUAUGCUGUCACAGUAGAAGAAAGCUUUACUGACUUCUUAAAUGAUGUGUUGAGACCGGAAACCUAAAAUGAUAGUUACUGAGAAUACUGCUAAUGCCCUAAGACCGGAACCCUAAAAUGAUAGUUACUGAGAAUAGUGCUAAUGCCCUAAGACCGGAACCCUAAAAUGGUAGUUACUGAGAAUACUGCUAAUGCCCUAAGACCGGAACCCUAAAAUGAUAGUUACUGAGAAUAGUGCUAAUGCCCUAACACCGGAACCCUAAAAUGAUAGUUACUGAGAAUACCGCUAAUGCCGUAAGACCGGAAACCUAAAAUGAUAGUCACUGAGAAUACUGCUAAUGCCCUAAGACCAGAACCCUAAAAUGAUAGUUACUGAGAAUAGUGCUAAUGCCCUAAGACCGGAACCCUAAAAUGAUAGUCACUGAGAAUACUGCUAAUGCCCUAAGACUGGAACCCUAAAAUGAUAGUUACUGAGAAUACCGCUAAUGCCCUAAGACCGGAACCCUAAAAUGAUAGUUACUGAGAAUACCGCUAAUGCCCUAAGACCGGAACCCUAAAAUGAUAGUUACUGAGAAUAGUGCUAAUGCCCUAAGACCGGAACCCUAAAAUGAUAGUUACUGAGAAUACCGCUAAUGCCCUAAGACCGGAACCCUAAAAUGAUAGUUACUGAGAAUACCGCUAAUGCCCUAAGACCGGAACCCUAAAAUGAUAGUUACUGAGAAUACCGCUAAUGUCCUAAGACCGGAACCCUAAAAUGAUAGUCACUGAGAAUAGUGCUAAUGCCCUAAGACCGGAACCCUAAAAUGAUAGUUACUGAGAAUAGUGCUAAUGCCCUAAGACCGGAAACCUAAAAUGAUAGUUACUGAGAAUACCGCUAAUGCCCUAAGGUUUUAGUCACACCCUCACCUAGGCAGGAACCCAACCAAAAGGGGAGAACUGUGGAACAAACUACGGGAGGUCAUUGUUUCGGUCACCACUCCCGCACUAGGCCACACUGAGCAGGCAAAAUCAGAAUGGAGACACUCACGCUGAAUGACACACAACGAAGCUGAAACUCUAAGGAAGUAGAUAGAUCCCAAAAGAGCUCCCUUUUUCCCUGAAGAGAUUCCAGUCUACCUGAGUCAGCAUAAAGAAGUCCCCUCUGCUUUAAUUCUUACCAAAACAAGUAACUUGAAGUAAUCUGAUAUUAACAAAUCAGUUGUUAUUUUCUAUUGCUCUAUUUCCGCCUUACACAACACAGUGUUCUGCUAUUGCCCAGAGGGCACUGAGACCAAAUAAAACUUGAAAAUGCCACACUGAAAGCAAAUAAGUCCUAAUAACUCAAUUUACAACGACAACAAAGAGUGACACCAAUGCCCAAAGUUUUGAUCAAUAUCUCAAAAUUGAGAGGCUGACCAAAAGGGAGGAAUUCUUACAUCAAACAACAUUUGGGCUCUGGAAGCCUCCCGAGGAGUCCUUGUAAAGAGUCGCGGCCGGGCGCCGUGGCUCACGCCUGUAAUCCCAGCACUUUGGGAGGCCGAGACGGGUGGCUCAUGAGGUCAGGAAAUCGAGACCAUCAUGGCUUACAAGGUGAAACCCAGUCUCUACUAAAAAAAAAAAAUACAAAAAAAUUAGCCGGGCUUGGUGGCGGCAGCCUGCAGUCCCAGCUACUCGGGAGGCCGGGACAGGAGAAUGGCGUGAACCUGGGAGGCGGAGCUUGCUGUGAGCUGAGAUCGCGCCACUGCACUCCAGCCUGGGCGACAGAGCGAGACUCCGCCUCAAAAAAGAAAAAAGAAGAAGAACAAGAAGAAUCGCAACCUAAUUUAGUAUAGAAACAAACUGAAAAUCUGACUUGGGAAUGUAUCAUGGUAACAAAUAGCGGCGGUUCAGCCAAUCACAUCAGCCGAGUGUCAGUCAAUGGCCGGCAGCCAGCUGUUCAAAACAAGUUCCAAGAAGGCAAAUCCGGGCUGUAACCAGGUCUGUAACCAAUCCAGCCACCUCUAUACCUCACUUCUGUUUUCUGUAUGUCACUUUUUUCCUCUGGCUAUAAAUAUAACCCGCACAUGUUGUGUGGCAGAUCAUUCUGAACCAUUUUUGGUCUGGACUGCUGCCUGAUUCUAGAACCACAAAAAAAAGCCAAUUAAGAUCUGCAAACCCACAUUUGUUGUAAUUCUGUAUUUUAACAGUUG
rnacentral:lncRNA from 1 species